ACUCAAAUGAAUUGACGGGGGCCCGCACAAGCAGCGGAGCAUGGGGUUUAAUUCGACGCGACGCGAAGAACCUUACCUGGACUUGACAUGUCGGUGACCGCCGUGGAAACACGGCUUCCCUUCGGGGCACCGUCACAGGUGGUGCAUGGCUGUCGUCAGCUCGUGUCGUGAGAUGUUGGGUUAAGUCCCGCAACGAGCGCAACCCCCGUCGCAUGUUGCCAGCAUUAAGUUGGGGACUCAUGUGAGACUGCCGGUGACAAACCGGAGGAAGGUGGGGAUGAGGUCAAGUCAUCAUGCCCCUUAUGUCCAGGGCUACACCCGUGCUACAUUGGCACGUACAAAAGGCAGCGAUACCGCGAGGUGGAGCGAAUCCUUUAAAGCGUGUCUCGGUUCGGAUUGCAGGCUGAAACUCGCCUGCAUGAAGGUGGAGUUGCUAGUAAUCGUGGAUCAGCAUUGCCACGGUGAAUACGUUCUCGGGCCUUGUACACACCGCCCGU
rnacentral:rRNA from 1 species